rnacentral:rRNA from 1 species
GCGCACGGGUGAGUAACGCGUAUGUAACCUACCUUGUACAGGGGGAUAGCCCGGAGAAAUUCGGAUUAAUACCCCAUAAUGAUAUUAGAAGGCAUCUUUUGAUAUUUAAAGUUUCGACGGUACAGGAUGGGCAUGCGUGACAUUAGCUAGUUGGUAGGGUAACGGCCUACCAAGGCUGCGAUGUCUAGGGGUCCUGAGAGGGUGAUCCCCCACACUGGUACUGAGACACGGACCAGACUCCUACGGGAGGCAGCAGUGAGGAAUAUUGGUCAAUGGGCGCAAGCCUGAACCAGCCAUCCCGCGUGCAGGAAGAAGGCGCUAUGCGUCGUAAACUGCUUUUCCAGGGGAAGAAAACCUGAUACGAGUAUCGGCUUGCCGGUACCCUGGGAAUAAGCAUCGGCUAACUCCGUGCCAGCAGCCGCGGUAAUACGGAGGAUGCAAGCGUUAUCCGGAUUUAUUGGGUUUAAAGGGUGCGUAGGCGGAUUAAUAAGUCAGUGGUGAAAACCUGCAGCUUAACUGUAGAACUGCCAUUGAUACUGUUAGUCUUGAGUACGGUCAAGGUAGGCGGAAUGUGUAAUGUAGCGGUGAAAUGCUUAGAUAUUACACAGAACACCAAUUGCGAAGGCAGCUUACUGGGCCACAACUGACGCUGAGGCACGAAAGCGUGGGGAGCGAACAGGAUUAGAUACCCUGGUAGUCCACGCCGUAAACGAUGAUCACUCGCUGUUGGCGAUACACAGUCAGCGGCUAAGCAAAAGCAUUAAGUGAUCCACCUGGGGAGUACGGCCGCAAGGCUGAAACUCAAAGGAAUUGA